rnacentral:lncRNA from 1 species
AAAAAAUGUACCCCCUGGGCUGGAGAGAUGGCUCAGCCGUUAAAGGCUAGGCUCACAACCAAAAAAUGUACCCCUCCCCCAUUUAUUUUUAUUUCUGAGAUUGUGUAUCCUCGAGCAGAGACAGGCCUUGAACUUGCCUAUAGCUAAGGGCCCUAGAUCUGACCUUCUCGCUCCACUUCCCAAGUGCAUGUACCUGUGAGUCCGGUUGAACACAGUUUAGUUUAUUGGUAUAUGGUGUCAUCAUUUAUUGUCAGAGCUGGAAAGCUCUCCAGGGCUUGAUGUGUGGUCAGUGUGAUUCUUCCCCACACUGACCAUGCACUUUAGGAAGGGAGGCAGGGAGGUGACUCCUGUAGACAUGCAUGCUACAUGCUAAGAUUCGCUGACAAACCUUACGCAAAAGUACGUGUUCUUUUUAUUUUCCUCCUAAAGCUCUGUCUCCAAUAUGAAUUCUGAGUUUUGUUUUGUUUUCCUCAGUUGGUCACAAUGGCAGGUGAAGAAAUGAAUGAAGACUAUCCCGUAGAAAUUCACGAUUCUUUAACAGCUCUGGAGAGCUCCCUGGGGGCGGUGGAUGACAUGCUGAAGACCAUGAUGUCUGUUUCUAGAAAUGAGUUGUUGCAGAAGUUGGACCCACUGGAACAAGCAAAGGUGGAUUUAGUUUCUGCAUAUACAUUAAAUUCAAUGUUUUGGGUUUACUUGGCAACUCAAGGAGUUAAUCCCAAGGAGCAUCCAGUGAAGCAGGAGUUGGAAAGAAUCCGAGUCUACAUGAACAGAGUUAAAGAAAUAACAGACAAGAAGAAGGCUGCCAAGCUGGACAGAGGGGCCGCGUCGAGAUUUGUCAAAAAUGCACUCUGGGAACCCAAACCAAAAAACACACCAAAAGUGGCUAAUAAAGGGAAAAGUAAACACUAAUAAUCUUUUGGUUUUGAUGUACGUGUUUUCAAAAAGUACAUCAUUUUUAUCAGUUUACAGUGUACUUAUGUGACCAUGUGGUGUU